UACGUAGGGUGCAAGCGUUGUCCGGAAUUAUUGGGCGUAAAGGGCUCGUAGGCGGUCCGUCACGUCGGCUGUGAAAACCCGGGGCUCAACCCCGGGCCUGCAGUCGAUACGGGCGGACUAGAGUUCGGCAGGGGAGACUGGAAUUCCUGGUGUAGCGGUGAAAUGCGCAGAUAUCAGGAGGAACACCGGUGGCGAAGGCGGGUCUCUGGGCCGAUACUGACGCUGAGGAGCGAAAGCGUGGGGAGCGAACAGG
rnacentral:rRNA from 1 species